AUGCAUGAUGUAUGUAUGGAUUUGUGCGUACGGAAAUUCCCGACAAAUAAUAUCACAAAUUUUGUUGGGACAUGGUUCACAGGAAUUAUGUUGGUCCAAAAACCACACUCCCUGAGUGAAGUUACUGUGUAAGCACACGCUCACCGACCAGUAAGCUGAAAUAAAUAUAUUCAUAGCAUUUAAGUGGAUGGACAUAAUCCGGUAAUUUUCAGCUGGAGCUCAUCCCCACGGUCGCUAUCCCCGCCCUGGAGAUGCUACUCAUCCGCAGCAGUGACUAUGCAUCGGAUGCGGACGCUGACCCCGUUCCUCGAGGACCUGGUCAUCCUCGCGCACAAGCAGCUCCACGUGGGAUGGAGGCAAAGGGAGAGGCGUUGCAUCUUGUUCCGGAACUCCGAGACAGAGUCCGAGUGCCCGGUGUGCGCCGAGCUCAGCGCCGAGAUGUGCAACAGCUUCUUCCAGUCAAAAAAUGCACGGUGCCAGCUUGCUAGUAGACUACCAUUGUCUCAUAAAUCAUUACUUCUAGUCUUCGCUAUUAUAUUUACUUCUAAGGAAUACAAAUUUCAUUUAUACGAUAUACUUACUGGAUGCUGUAUGUUUACCUAUAAAACGAUGGUUGAUGGUGUUGUGCAUUGAUCAUACGUGGCCUACACGUACUGAAUCUUGAACUUACACUGAUACAAAAGUGUGCAACUGGCAUGCACAUGGUAGCCUACCUCCCAGGCGGCCCAAGUUGAACACGUGAUUGUCGGGCAGCUAAAACAGUUAAGUGCACGCACAGGUAACGCAAGUGUGUUUUUAAAUGUUGGUGUACGAGUUUGUAUACCAGUUAUUCAAGUGUACAAAGUUUGUACACAUCGUGGUGGGAAACUAGAUUUAGACACAGCGCGCCCAACAUGUGCAAGCAAUCACUCUUUUAACUGUCCAACAAUGCACCCGGGUGACGAAACUAUGCAAAGAAAUACACCAGGCCAGGCACCCGCACACUAAUAUUACGGGUUAGACAGAUAAGGGGCGUGAGCCAAAAAUAACAAAAAACAAUGCACUGGUAAGAAAUAUUUAUUUUUCGGUGUGUGUAGAUUUUGAACAAGGCUGCACCACUAUUUAUUUUUCGGUGUGUGUAGAUUUUGAACAAGGCCGCACCCCUUAUAGACAGCUGUCCUGUCCUCAGAACGGGUUUUCCUUACUGUCCCUUUUGUCACACGUUUUGCAGUACAGUAAAAUACUGCUUGGUAGCAUA